UACGUAGGGGGCAAGCGUUGUCCGGAAUUAUUGGGCGUAAAGGGCUCGUAGGCGGUUUGUCACGUCGGGAGUGAAAACACGGGGCUUAACCCCGUGCCUGCUUCCGAUACGGGCAGACUAGAGGUAUGCAGGGGAGAACGGAAUUCCUGGUGUAGCGGUGAUAUGCGCAGAUAUCAGGAGGAACACCGGUGGCGAAGGCGGGUUGCUGGGCCUGUACUGACGCUGAGGAACGAAAGCGUGGGGAGCAAACGGG
rnacentral:rRNA from 1 species